GUGCCAGCAGCCGCGGUAAGACAGAGGUGGCAAGCGUUGUUCGGAUUCAUUGGGUGUAAAGGGUCCGUAGGUGGUCGAGCAAGUCUGAUGUGAAAUCCCAUGGCUCAACCGUGGAACUGCAUUGGAAACUGCGCGACUUGAGUACCGCAGAGGUGAAGGGAAUUCCCGGUGUAAGGGUGAAAUCUGUAGAUAUCGGGAGGAACACCAGUGGCGAAGGCGCUUCACUGGGCGGUUACUGACACUGAGGGACGAAAGCAAGGGUAGCAAACAGGAUUAGAAACCCUUGUAGUCC
rnacentral:rRNA from 1 species